GGACUACAGGGGUUUCUAAUCCUGUUUGCUACCCACGCUUUCGUGUCUCAGCGUCAGUUACGGUCCAGAAAGCCGUCUACACCACCGGUGUUCCUCCUGAUAUCUACGCAUUUCACCGCUACACCAGGAAUUCCACUUUCCUCUCCCGUACUCCAAGUCAUUCAGUAUUCGGCGCUCCCUCCCAGUUGAGCCGGGAGAUUUCACACCAAACUUAAAUCACCGCCUACACACCCUUUACGCCCAGUAACUCCGAACAACGCUCGCUGCCUACGUAUUACCGCGGCGGCUGGCAC
rnacentral:rRNA from 1 species